GGAGGGUAAGGACGCGGGAGACUGGCCCACGGUAUAUAAGGUGCAGCCGAACGACCGUACAGCAUUAUUUGUAAACGUUCGGGGAGGGGGGGUUAUUAGUUCGGCAGUUCUUUGUUUUGUUUUUGCUCGGCCAGAAGAUCGAUUGCAAGCCAGCAUUCUGACAUGGACAAAGUCUAGCUGAACUGUGGACGGGGGCGGCCACCGACCAUCACGGCUGCCUGAAGUCCGGCACCAGCGGCAUGUUCUGCCGCUCGGGAGGCGCCAGCAGAGGCAGCGCAGUGCUGACGUCAUCGGAGGACCGAGGACCAGCAUCGCGCCGCCAUGGCUGACGGCCGACCUCAGCCCACAACACCAGGGCGCAGGGAGGGGGGGAGGAGUGGGGUCAGCGUGUUCGACCGCUUUUGACUUUUGUGAAGAAAUUGUAGGUAUGUGUUGGCCUUUUGACUUCAAGAAAAAAAAUUGCGGCUUUCGUUUGAUUUCGUUUGCUUGUCCAAUAAAGACUCAAAAAUG